rnacentral:rRNA from 1 species
GGGGUGGAAAGCUUUAUUGUGGUUUUGGAUGGACUCGCGGCCUAUCAGCUUGUUGGUGAGGUAAUGGCUCACCAAGGCGACGACGGGUAGCCGGCCUGAGAGGGUGACCGGCCACACUGGGACUGAGACACGGCCCAGACUCCUACGGGAGGCAGCAGUGGGGAAUAUUGCACAAUGGGCGAAAGCCUGAUGCAGCGACGCCGCGUGAGGGAUGACGGCCUUCGGGUUGUAAACCUCUUUCAGUAGGGAAGAAGCGAAAGUGACGGUACCUGCAGAAGAAGCGCCGGCUAACUACGUGCCAGCAGCCGCGGUAAUACGUAGGGCGCAAGCGUUAUCCGGAAUUAUUGGGCGUAAAGAGCUCGUAGGCGGUUUGUCGCGUCUGCCGUGAAAGUCCGGGGCUCAACUCCGGAUCUGCGGUGGGUACGGGCAGACUAGAGUGAUGUAGGGGAGACUGGAAUUCCUGGUGUAGCGGUGAAAUGCGCAGAUAUCAGGAGGAACACCGAUGGCGAAGGCAGGUCUCUGGGCAUUAACUGACGCUGAGGAGCGAAAGC